AUUGAACGCUGGCGGCAGGCCUAACACAUGCAAGUCGAGCGGAUGAAGGGAGCUUGCUCCUGGAUUCAGCGGCGGACGGGUGAGUAAUGCCUAGGAAUCUGCCUGGUUGUGGGGGAUAACGUCCGGAAACGGGCGCUAAUACCGCAUACGUCCUGAGGGAGAAAGUGGGGGAUCUUCGGACCUUACGCUAUCAGAUGAGCCUAGGUCGGAUUAGCUAGUUGGUGGGGUAAAGGCCUACCAAGGCGACGAUCCGUAACUGGUCUGAGAGGAUGAUCAGUCACACUGGAACUGAGACACGGUCCAGACUCCUACGGGAGGCAGCAGUGGGGAAUAUUGGACAAUGGGCGAAAGCCUGAUCCAGCCAUGCCGAGUGUGUGAAGAAGGUCUUCGGAUUGUAAAGCACUUUAAGUUGGGAGGAAGGGCAGUAAGUUAAUACCUUGCUGUUUUGACGUUACCAACAGAAUAAGCACCGGCUAACUUCGUG
rnacentral:rRNA from 1 species